UGAGACUCCUAUUAAGAUCAGAGAACAAUUACACAAGAACACACCACCACAAGAUUAGCUGACUAAGCAAGGCAGCUGCAAUUAGAAUAGUAAUACAUCCACUGGAGAAGUCAUUUACCCAAGUAAGUGUGCAACUUCUUGAGUGCUGCAAAUGGAGGACAUAGAAAUUAGAUGUGAGAAAGACCUAGGAGAUCACAUCCAUCCACCUGUAAGUGCAGACUAGACAGUCCCCUGAUAAGAAAUCAUCCAAGUCACCUUUGACGGGAAGCCCUGGAUGCCCCAUUACUUGGAGAAUCAAGGGGCAAUACAACUGCCAAUUAUAAGCAUCUUACACCGGCUGAGAGGGAUGAAAAAAGUCAUUUCCAGGACUUUUUCCUCAUCUGAUUCCUAUGGUUUGUUUCUUAGUACUAACACCAAGUGACGCACUCUGCCUGGUCCCCCCUCCAGUCUCACAAAGCCAGACCCAAUACAUAAAAUAGUUGGACUGUGGCACUAAGUCUUACUGUUUCCCAGGUGUAGCUACACUGGGAAGUGAGUUUUUUCCCCCCCCUCUAGUCAGAUUAUUUUCUAUUCCAGGAGUUCUGUUUUUAGGUUGUUAGCUAUACAGGAAAGUAUUGAUAAGUAUUAGAAAAUGAACUAUUUUCUAAG